rnacentral:rRNA from 1 species
AUUGAACGCUGGCGGCAGGCUUAACACAUGCAAGUCGAACGAUGAUUAUCUAGCUUGCUAGAUAUGAUUAGUGGCGGACGGGUGAGUAACAUUUAGGAAUCUGCCUAGUAGUGGGGGAUAGCUCGGGGAAACUCGAAUUAAUACCGCAUACGACCUACGGGUGAAAGGGGGCGCAAGCUCUUGCUAUUAGAUGAGCCUAAAUCAGAUUAGCUAGUUGGUGGGGUAAAGGCCCACCAAGGCGACGAUCUGUAACUGGUCUGAGAGGAUGAUCUGUCACACCGGAACUGAGACACGGUCCGGACUCCUACGGGAGGCAGCAGUGGGGAAUAUUGGACAAUGGGGGCAACCCUGAUCCAGCCAUGCCGCGUGUGUGAAGAAGGCCUUUUGGUUGUAAAGCACUUUAAGCAGGGAGGAGAGGCUAAUGGUUAAUACCCAUUAGAUUAGACGUUACCUGCAGAAUAAGCACCGGCUAACUCUGUGCCAGCAGCCGCGGUAAUACAGAGGGUGCGAGCGUUAAUCGGAAUUACUGGGCGUAAAGCGAGUGUAGGUGGCUCAUUAAGUCACAUGUGAAAUCCCCGGGCUUAACCUGGGAACUGCAUGUGAUACUGGUGGUGCUAGAAUAUGUGAGAGGGAAGUAGAAUUCCAGGUGUAGCGGUGAAAUGCGUAGAGAUCUGGAGGAAUACCGAUGGCGAAGGCAGCUUCCUGGCAUAAUAUUGACACUGAGAUUCGAAAGCGUGGGUAGCAAACAGGAUUAGAUACCCUGGUAGUCCACGCCGUAAACGAUGUCUACUAGCCGUUGGGGUCCUUGAGACUUUAGUGGCGCAGUUAACGCGAUAAGUAGACCGCCUGGGGAGUACGGCCGCAAGGUUAAAACUCAAAUGAAUUGACGGGGGCCCGCACAAGCGGUGGAGCAUGUGGUUUAAUUCGAUGCAACGCGAAGAACCUUACCUGGUCUUGACAUAGUGAGAAUCCUGCAGAGAUGCGGGAGUGCCUUCGGGAAUUCACAUACAGGUGCUGCAUGGCUGUCGUCAGCUCGUGUCGUGAGAUGUUGGGUUAAGUCCCGCAACGAGCGCAACCCUUUUCCUUAUUUGCCAGCGGGUUAAGCCGGGAACUUUAAGGAUACUGCCAGUGACAAACUGGAGGAAGGCGGGGACGACGUCAAGUCAUCAUGGCCCUUACGACCAGGGCUACACACGUGCUACAAUGGUAGGUACAGAGGGUUGCUACACAGCGAUGUGAUGCUAAUCUCAAAAAGCCUAUCGUAGUCCGGAUUGGAGUCUGCAACUCGACUCCAUGAAGUCGGAAUCGCUAGUAAUCGCAGAUCAGAAUGCUGCGGUGAAUACGUUCCCGGGCCU